rnacentral:ncRNA from 1 species
CCCGCCAAGCCUCUCAUUGAAGCUCAAAUGUGCGGGU